rnacentral:rRNA from 1 species
GUGCCAGCAGCCGCGGUAAGACAGAGGUCCCGAGCGUUAGGCGGAAUCACUGGGCUUAAAGCGUGUGUAGGCGGAUCGUUAAGUGCCUUGUGAAAUCCCAUGGCUUAACCAUGGAACUGCUCGGCAUACUGGCGAUCUUGAGCCACUUAGGGGCAACCGGAACAAAUGGUGGAGCGGUGAAAUGCGUAGAUAUCAUUUGGAACGCCAAUGGUGAAAACAGGUUGCUGGGAGUGUGCUGACGCUGAGACACGAAAGCCAGGGGAGCGAACGGGAUUAGAUACCCUCGUAGUCC